AUUGAACGCUGGCGGCAGGCCUUACACAUGCAAGUCGAACGAGUUGCGGACGGGUGAGUAAUUUCUUGAAAACUGCCUGAUGGAGGGGGAUAACUCCUGGAAACGGUAGACAAUACCGCAUACAAUUAGAUGUGCCCAGAUGGGAUUAGCUAGUUGGUGGGGUAACGGCUCACCAAUGCCACGAUCCCUAGCUGGUUUGAGAGGAGGACCAGCCACACUGGAACUGAGACACGGUCCAGACUCCUACGGGAGGCAGCAGUGGGGAAUAGGGCACAAUGGGCGCAAGCCUGAUGCAGCCAUGCCGCGUGUAUGAAGAAGGCCUUCGGGUUGUAAAGUACUUUCAGCGGGGAGGCGUUACCCGCAGAAGAAGCACCGGCUAACUCCGUGCCAGCAGCCGCGGUAAUUC
rnacentral:rRNA from 1 species